CGGCCGCUGGGCGAGGUGGCGCUGGUGCCGGUCGCGACGGCGGGUCCGCGGGAGGCCGCGCCGGCCGUCCCGGCCUCCGCCGGGGCGGG
rnacentral:tRNA from 1 species